CGUCCCCGCCGCGCUCGGGCCUCGGCGCCGCCGGUCGCCGCGCGGCUGCCGCCGGGAAACGGGUGGGGGGGUUGCCGUGUCCGGCAGGCCCCGACUCUGACCCGCCGCCCCCUGGCGGCCGCGCGGGGAAUCGCAGGGCCCCGCUCCCCCUUGUGCGACAUGUGCUGCCGGCCCGGGCUCCAUGAGCGUGGCGGGCAGUUUGCAGUCCCGGGUGCUCCUGCCUCCUUUUUUAUUCCUAAGCUGGACUAAAGGGGACGGGAACUGGGGUAAAGCAGGCUUAUUUUUGCAAUAUCACCGAGAGGAAAAAUUAGUGUAGUGCUAUCUACACCACAUCAGUUGGGGAAACAACUCUUUAUCCCGGCUUGCAGCCACGAGGUCUUGAUUGGGGGAGGGGUGGUGAAGAAUAGUCUCUUCACUGCCUUUCCCUCUCACUGGAGCCGUGCAGUAGUUAACGAUUGCUGUUGAUCAUCCUCUGGUGUUUCGAUAAAACGUGAAUCUAACGCAUUCAUACACGUGGACCUAACUGCACCAAAAGCUUUUCUAAGGAUAUUUGCUGAGAAGGAAGUUUUCCCGAGUGGGUAAGUGUAUAUUUGAAUUUUACUUGUUAACUUUUUAAAAACCGAUUUUUCUUGACUUUACUCUUUCAUUUAAAGAAAUAAUAUGGGAUUGGGUUUUCAAAUAGUGAAGUAGGUAUUUUGUUCUCUGUUCAUUGUUUUCUGUUUUGUUUUUCGAAAACUUAGUUUGGGUUAUAGCUAAUGUGUAAGUUAGUAAAAAAUAUAACGCAAAUACCAUUGUAAGUCUUUGCAAACUGAUACAAAAAAUUUAGAACUGCUUUAAAUUGAAUGACAAAAUAGAUGUACACUGGAGUAAGUUUUCAAGCUUAAAAUAAGUUAUCUGAGACAUUUAACUUCUAAAACUAGCUGAUAUACUUGAAAUGUAGUCUGAACGGUAAUUUUAUUAAUCAGUUUACCAAGUAAUUGCUAAUUGGAAGCCAGAAGAAAAGAAAAAUGUUUUGCCACGUGGAUGUGAAGAUUUCCUCUGAAAGGUAUAUGACUCAAAUUACCUUGGUGAUACGCAGUAUGAUUUUGGUUUUUCUUAAGUAUGCCUUUGGGAAUGGCAAAGGAAAAGAAGAGCUACCACGUUCUUAUAAAUAUGGUGAUUAAUUAUAAGUGUCUUAAUAAACCUUUUCUAGUUUUGAGGUCUAAAUUUGCUUUUAAAUGCAGCUGGAAGGUUUGAGAUGAUUUAACUCAUUUUCUCUUCCCUAUUAGGGUUUAUGCUCAAUGUUUUGUGCUUUACAUAAAUGUUAGAGUUUGAGGUGUUAUUUCAUCUGUUUAUUUAUUUCGAAUUUAGCAGGAAUAAAGAACAUCACCUUGUAAACUGAAGAUUGAGACGAGUCAGAAUAAUGUCAAAGUGCUUACAGUGCAGGUAGUGAUUUGUGCAUCUACUGCAGUGAAGGCACUUGUAGCAUUAUGGUGACAGCUGCCUCGGGGGCCACGGUGGGCUGGGGCGCAGGGCCUGCUGGUGUCGAGCGCUUUUUGUUCUAAGGUGCAUCUAGUGCAGAUAGUGAAGUAGAUUAGCAUCUACUGCCCUAAGUGCUCCUUCUGGCAUAAGAAGUUAUGCUUCCGUCCAGUGAGCCAGCCAAGCAAGCAUAGAGGUGUGCUAAUACUGUGUGUGUGCAGUCCUCUGUUAGUUUUGCAUAGUUGCACUACAAGAAGAAUGUAGUUGUGCAAAUCUAUGCAAAACUGAUGGUGGCCUGCUAUUUCCUUCAAGUGAUGCUUAACUAAUUUUGUGUACUUUUAUUGUGUCGAUGUAGAAUCUGCCUGGUGUGUGACGUGACAGCUUCUGUAGCACUAAAGUGCUUAUAGUGCAGGUAGUGUUUAGUUAUCUACUGCAUUAUGAGCACUUAAAGUACUGCUAGCUGUAGAACUCCAGCUUCGGCCUGUCGCCCAGUCAAACUGUCCAGUUUACUGAACACUGUUCUAUGGUUAGUUUUGCAGGUUUGCAUCCAGCUGUGUGAUAUUCUGCUGUGCAAAUCCAUGCAAAACUGACUGUGGUAGUGAAAAGUCUGUAGAAAAGUAAGGGAAAAUCAAACCCCUUUCUACACAGGUUGGGAUCAGUUGCAAUGCUGUGUUUCUGUAUGGUAUUGCACUUGUCCCGGCCUGUUGAGUUUGGUGGGGAUUGUGACCAGAAGAUUUUGAAAAUUAAAUAUUGCUGAAGAUUCAACUUCCACUUUUAACCGUUCCAGAAAUAAAGUAUCGAAAAAGAAGAUGUGUAAUCAUUCUGUGUAAAAGUUCACAUACAUAUCUGUGUGUAAAAUAUAUAUUAACCACAUACAGCUUUUCCUUGAAGUUGUUUUGUCAUAUUUUUGUACUAAAACAUUCUUCUAAGAUUGCAUGUUGUAUAUGAUAUUUUUUUGGUCAAAUUUGAUUUACUUAGUUAACAAAUUAACAAUUUGUAAGGGAAAUUUAUUUUGAUAAUCUGUAAAGUGAGGAUAUAUGCCUUUUGCUUACUUUGGACCUGGAAUUCAGGACAUUUUACUUAACCUCUAAAAGGCAAUAACUUUUGUUGCUUAACAUUCAAAUAUUUAAAUUUGGUGAAAAUGCCAUUCUGUUUAAAGCAUUGUGUAAAGAAAGUUGUUCUGUUAUUGUUUAAGCAUGAAAUUUAAAUUUGGGAGGGGUGGGUUGUCUUGUUGCUAGUAAACAAAUACUAUUUUGUCAGUACUGGUGUUCUCCAUGUAUAACUGUUAACUGGUUAUUUGCAAGUUUUUUUAGUAAUUGUUAAUGAUGUAUAAACUGUCAGUGAUCCUUAGAUUGUUCUUCGCUUUCUGGAACAUAAAACAGUAGUUGAAAAGAAAACAAGAUAUGCUAAUGCUGAAUGGAGUUGACAAGUAUGUGUGUCUGUAGGUCUUAAUGCCAAGAGUGUGAGUGGGAAUCUGAAAUUAGUUUUUGUUUAAAGUCUGUAGUUAACGUUUCUGUUCCCUACUACCUUCAUAAAGCAGACUUUGGCAACAAGUGGAACCUAAGUAGAGGCAGGCAGAGCAACAUCUCUGCCUCUUCUCCUGUGUGUUUUGUCUCUAAUUUGGGUUUCAUAUGUGGUAGAAAAAUGUGGGUUAACUUAAGAAUGAUUAUGUUUUAAAUGAUCAGUUGUUAAAAUUGGACCCAAGUUAAAUUUUGUAAGAAGGAUGCUGUCUUAGUAAUAUGGAAUAAAUUAACAUGUAACCUCAAUGUGUCACCCAAUACAUUUUGAGAACAUCCUUUUAAAAUGCAUUGUGUGAAGUUGAACAAAAGUUUAACCCCUUGUGUGUCCCUUCUUUAAGAAAUAUAAAGAGCUUAAUUAAGGAUCCCUGAAUAGAAAAGGUAAGAAUUUCACAGUUCUGGAGUUCAUUAAAAGGUAAAUAAUUUCCAGAAUGAGAGAAAACUACUAAGAAUGAUGUAGUGCUUACAAAAUGGAAAUCUAACUGUCCAUUAGUUUGAGUUCUUAAACCUUUUGAAUUGGAAGGAAACCUAAAAAUUGUUUUUGUGUUUAAUGACAAACUGCUUUAAACUGUGCUUUAAAAGUCCCAUAAUGUUAGCAUGGCUUACAGUACUCUACAAAAUGGUGUGCUAUAGGUUAAAAGGGGAAAGAGGAUGUUUACAUGUACCAGAUCAUAUAAUUUUAUUUUUAAAGCUUUGGGGAAAAUACUCUAGGGUUAUUGUUCAAAGUGAAACAAUGAUAAGCCUGUCAGAUGAUUCUUAAAUGUGCUAAACCAUAAGUCAAGUAACUAAACAAAAGAAUUGUUACGUUAAAAGAUAAGUCUUCCUAGAUGCUGAAUUUGUGUAGUACUUACAUUCAGAACUUAGUUGAACUGUUAAUCAGGGAGAACGUUUUAUGUGGGCAUUGGCAGUGGGGCUGUGGUUGUUUAGGGUUUAGUAAGUAGGAAUUGCAUCUGAUUCUGGGUGAAAUACCUGGCAAAUUUUGUAUGCUUGUGUCUAAAGAUUUCUGAGGUGUGUACAACAUACUCUUCAAAUAACACUAAAGAAAAGACAUACAAAUAACAAAGGUUAACAUUCAGCCAUUUUGAGAUAUCAGUUAGGGCACAAGUUGAUUAUAGCUAAUGAUUGCCUCAUAUAUAAUUGACCUGGGGAAAACUGCUCUGGCCAUCUUUUCUCAGUGUUGAGAAAACCUUGAAAUUCCUUAAAGUUUCAAAUUUGAUAGCCUUAAGACUGUUUUCAGAAAAAAUAAAUCUAAUAAUACUCUUUUGCAUGUUAUUCAUAUCUGAUUCUCCAGUUUGCGUGUUUAAAAAGGAAAGUAACAGUUUUACAAGUUAUUCUUUGUCAAAGCUGCUUGCAAAGUAGUGGUGAUUUUACUAAAAACUUCUGAGAUCUUCAUUUUACAGGCAAACCUAUCUAAGCAGACCAAACCAGACUUGAGGGUUUUCCCUGUAUUUUGAAGAGCCCUACAGAAUGAUUCGUGAUAAAAAGCAACCUACAACUACUGGAGGAAAAUUUGGUGUCACAUUAAAGUUUGCUGUGUAUUUAAUGAAGUACUGUUCUGAAUUGAUAACCUUGGGGUGGUUUGUCUAGCAUCAGAAUUAGGAGCCUCUGAGCUGAGCAGUAAAGGUAAGGAGGGCUCAGUGUACAAGGUCAGUUUUUGUUGUCCAACUGGAAGUCCUACCAUGCCUACUUGAAGACAGCACAUUCCUCUUUGCCUUGGAGGUUGUUGAGCUUUCAUUGUACUUAAAGACUGAAUACAGUUUUCUGUUUUGUUAAGGUAAAUUCAGGAUGUAAUAGUCUUACUGAGUUUUAAAGGGUAACAAAGUUGGGCAUACCCUGUAAAUUUUCAGGCCAUAGAAAAAUCAGUGAAGGCUUAGUUUUCUAAUUUAGCGUAUAUAGCAUUCAGAGAUGCUGAUGUAUUUGCAACUAAGUCGUGCUGUUGGAAUUGUUUUGGUGCUUUCAAUGUAAAUAAAUAUAUGCAUUUUAAAACUACUUGUUAAAUUUCCCAGAAUGAUAAUUUUGAAAUAAAAAUUUUAAGGUUAUGCUUGGUUGUAAUUUCUCUGGCGUUUUUUGUUACUAUAAAACAUCCAAACACCUUUCCUUAUUAAUUGAGGUAACUGGGGGAGAGGGAACAGGUGUACCUUAACUUUGGUAUCAGUGGCAUCUGUGUUUGUAUCCUGAUUUUACAGAUAAGAGAAUGUGAUGAGCAAAGUUUAUUUGCAAGGAUAUGAAGCUGGUAAAUAGGCUCUGAAUUUAAACCCAUGUUGAUAAACUAUGAAAAAGACAGUAAAGUUGCAAUUCCAGUCACAUGUGGUUUUGAAUACUUACUAAAAAAUAUGUAAUUGCUAGCAGAUUUCCUCCUUAACAAGGUUAAGUAACAUGGUAUGGAGGUAAAGAACAAAAACCCAAAGUUGGCAGUUUAAUGACAUCAAAUUACAUGGUCAGUGUAGUAUCACCAUUCUUAAUAACUGUGAUUAACAUAUACUCAUUUUAUGUUUACUUGUAAGAAGUGUAUGUACUGUGAGGAUUGUUUAAAAUAAUGCUGACUUUAACUUGUGUAGACUAAGACGUUAAAAGCUCCUCUGAAAUUUCAUUGAUUAAACUUAAGAGGAAUCCUAAUUCAGAUGUAAGUAGUUGUGUAGGAUUACUACUGUUCAGCAGAGUUGGGGGAGCUGGGACUUCAGAACCUUGCGAGGAUAGAUGAAAAUGAUCUGCUUGUUCAAGUAUGUGAAGCCCUUAAGCCACUAGGUGACCUUAGGCUAGGCUGAGGCCACCUCAAGAUCACUGCUGGAAUUACAGUCCAGAUGCAUCAGAAUCUGGGGAGAGUUAAGUAGAGUUGGUUGCUAGGAGGACAAACGAGAAGUCUGUUGAUCUUAUGUUUAAGAAUUAACCAUUUCCCUGAAUUGUCUGAAAUGAUGAGCCAGAGGAAUGCAGAACAUCAAAGCAGCACCUCUGUAUGAAGGUAAGGGGCUACUUUUAAGACUAGAAGAUCAUCAUUUUAUGUUUUGUGUACCUAGUUUUAUAGCUGACUGCUUGGCAUGACGCCUUUCAGCUAGCACCAGCCUUAAAUCUGCUUCUGAAUCCAUAAGCUUUUCGUCUCCCAACUUGAAGUAAUAGUGUCUCUUCAGUGAUACUUGUGUUUUGGUAAUAGCAUGCACCACGUGUAUAAUAGCAGCUUUUGUGCUGGACUGGAUUUCCUUGAGGUUUGACUCUUCACCCUGUUCUCCAGGGUCAUUGUAAAGGCAAGUGAUUUUCUAGCCCUCUUCCUCAAGAAAAUUUGUCAGACUUGUACCUUCUCAUACUUUUGAUUUCUAGAAUUCUAGUUUCUGCUAUGUUCUGAACAUUUCUGAUAACCUGAUUUCUGCUCUUGACUGUGUACUGUUAGUCAUAAUGUUGCUUGAGCCUCCAGCUCACCCACUGUCUUUAUACACUGACCUUUUAUUCUGCGUCUCCUCAUCACCACCAUUUACUCUCCAGGCUUUUUCUCCACGGACUUUGCACUUGGUUUUCCCUGAGAUUGGAAAAAAUUUUCUCCGAUAGCUGAUUUAAUCCUCUUUGCUUCUAGUCUUUGCACAAAUGUCAAACCUUCUCUCCUGUUUGUACCCUCUCCCUGGGUGGUUUUUUCUGGGUAGACUACUAAUGGUGUCAUUAGGGAUCUUGUUAGAAAUGCAGGAUCUAAGGCCUUUUCCAGGCCAGAAUUGGGGUCUUCAUGUAAAAUACCCUUCUUCACUCCCUUCUAGGAUACUCUAUGAGGUCAGGGGUUUGAAGAUGUUCAGUGAUGCAUAUUCAACAAGUAAAAUGGUAUCCAGCAUGUAGAGGGUACCUGGUAGUUUGUGCAUAAGUGAGUGCAAGUUCUCAGGGGUGAAUGUGGCUGUCAGAGUCCAUGGAAGUUCAUGCCAAACAUGAAAAGACCAGUCUAGUUCAUUUGGAACUUGAGAAGUUUAAUUGUAAAAUGUGUUACUGGUCUUCGCAGGUGCUUGGUUGGAUUAGUGUUGGGACAAUUGGUGAGUGAAGAUUUAUGGUACCUAGUAAUCCCCUGGGGAAAAAAGGAAAC
ensembl:lncRNA